GCGUGAAGGAUCAUUA
rnacentral:rRNA from 1 species